UACUAGAGUAGCACUCGCAUAUCAAUAAGCGGAGGAAAAGAAACUAACAAGGAUUCCCCUAGUAACGGCGAGUGAAGCGGGAAGAGCUCAAAUUUGAAAUCUUAAAGGGUUUCCCUUUACGAAUUGUAGUUUAAAGAAGUGUUUUCUGUUGAGGUUUUGGUAAAAGUUCUUUGGAAUAGGACAUCAUAGAGGGUGAGAAUCCCGUAUUUGACCUUUACUUUCAACUUUGUGAUACACUUUCAAAGAGUCGGAUUGUUUGGGAAUGCAGUCCAAAAUGGGUGGUAAAUUUCAUCUAAAGCUAAAUAUUGGCGAGAGACCGAUAGCGAACAAGUACCGUGAGGGAAAGAUGAAAAGAACUUUGAAAAGAGAGUUAAACAGUAUGUGAAAUUGUCAAAAGGGAAGCGUUUGACACCAGUGUUGUUUUUCUGAAAAUCAAUUAAAGAACUGUUUAUGCUAAGCUGUUUAGACUUUAUCAGCUAUCUGUUUAGUUUUGAGCUUUUCUUUAAUGCACUUUUCAGUUAACAAGUCAACAUCAAUUUCUUUUGCUGUAAAAAAGCUUGAGGAAGGUGGCUUGAGAUUCGUCUUAAGUGUUUAUAGCCUCUUGCCUAUGCAGUCGGAGAGAUUGAGGUCUGCAGCGUAGAUCCUUCGGGGCUAAAUGCGUUUGUGCUAAGUUAUAGCAUUUUAUAGACAACUUGUUGACUAUGAUUUGUCUUGUAGCUUACUCGCUUAUGUUAUUUUACCUACGCUUAGGAUGUUGAGCGCAUGUCUCUCUCU
rnacentral:rRNA from 1 species